UGCAGCCUGACAAAUAUAAUGUCCUACCAACCAAACAAUUGUUACCUACCCUUAUCCAUAACGAAUCUACCAACUACCACAACCAACUAAUGUAAAAGCAAACAACCACACACCACUACCAGUACCAACAUAAAAUCUGGUGCUUUAAGCCAUCAACCAUGGAGGAAAAAAAAACUAUAGAUCCACACACACAAAAUCCACCAAACCAAACACAAACCAAGCAAAGCUUUCCUUCAUAAACAGAAUAUAUUUAAUGAUAGAUUUUAUCUUGUUCCUUUGAAGCUCACCUCUACAAUAUUGAUCUAAGCUCAAUAGCACCAAAAACACUCCAAUCUCAAAGGUUAGCGAUGAACCCACUGAAGCUCUUUACAAUGGUAAUUCAAAAUCAAUCCUACUUUUGAAUGAAAUGGUAACUGUCAAAGGUGCAUGUUGAAAAUCCUCAAGCUGAAGACUAGAGAUUUGUUUAUGGACAGGUUUGUUGAACAGUAAAUAUAGUAAAUAUAUUGGUGAGACCAACACACUAACUUUUGCAAUGUCAAUGUCUAUCUAUUGUAGCACAUAAUACAUUAUACAUGUUACAAUAAAUUCACUUAUGCUUUUAAUGUAUCAUCUUCCAUCAUAUAUAUUCAUUUAAGUCUUUACAUAGGACACUUAACCUUUCAUAGAGAAGAAGAGUAGUUUGUCGAAUAAAUGAACUUGUAACCUUUGUUAGAAAUAGUUCAAUCAUUUCAAUCAAAUACAAACCAACGUGUUCCAUGUUAUCUAUCAUUCAGAUGGUAAUGUUUUUGUUGCUACUCCAACUAGGUGGAAAAACUAUGGGUAGAAUUUGCAAUUUUGAAUAAUCACAAAAGGCUACCUGUGUUGUUUAUGUUGCAACCAUCCAAGCUCUUGCCCAAAAAAAUAUCUUGAUUAAGAGAAUAAAUUUGUCAGUGGCUCAAUUUGAAAGUGAUUGAAUUGAUUGGAGAUAUUGAUAUUGACAUGAAAUUGCUUGAGACAAACCAACUUAUAAUUACUACUCAACCUAUAUGAGAUAUUUUAUUGCAACUCUAAUAAAAAUGCUUUUGUCAAACUCACUUGCCAAUGGAAAGGAUAUGGGGAAUAGGCAACGGAGGUCUUCUUUACCUCUUCUCAGAGAGUGCAUCAUUGAUUAUAAAGAGACUCUUUUGUUGAACAAGUGAUAUUUAUUUCCACUGGCAGGAUAAAGUAUCUCAUAUAUGUUGAGUAGUAAUUAUAUAUGGUGACUUAACUCAAGCAAUUUCAUGCCAAUCUCAAUAUCUCUAGUCAAUUCAACUACUUUCAAAUUGAGAUCACCCCAAAUUUCUUCUCCAAAAACAAGAUAUCUUUUAUCGGCAAGCGCCUGAAUGAGUACAAACAUAUAAACAACGCGCAUAGUACUUUUGUGGUUCCUCAAAAUUGAGAAAUUUUAAGCAUACAGUCUUUCCACUUCCAGUUAGAGCACCAACAAAAACAUUGAUUUGUAUUUGAUUGAAAUCCUUGAAAUAUUUCUGAUAAAGAUCUUCCUAAAAUAUUGCAAGUUCAUUAAUUCAAUAAACUGCACUUCUUCUCUAGGAAAGGUUAAGUGUCCCACAUGCAGACUUAAAAGACUAUAGUUGAGGAUGUAUGAAAAACAUACAUGUAACAUGUAUUCUGUGGGACGAUGGGGUGGCAUUGCAAAAGUCGGUAUGCUAGUUUCACCAAUAUAUUAUUGCUCAGCAUUGAAAAUUGACGAUAAACAAAUAUGUUGCAUUUAACUUUAAGAUUCUCAACAACCACAUAUAUCCCCAGAUAAUUAUUGUUCCAUUCAAAGUACAAUUAAUCUUGAGUGGCAUCAUAGAAUAACAGUUAGUAUCUGACUGCACAUAUGUGGUCAGGUACAUUAUAAAGGGAUUUGGUGCGUCUAUUACUCAUCUAUGAUCAUAUGUCACAAAUAUCAAAUGAGUUCGAGGUUUUUUCAGUAUUCCAAAAAAAAAAAAAAACUAACACUAAAUACUUUUUCAUUAUUUCAAUAGUUAAUAUAAAAAACAAGGGAAAUGAAUUUUUCUAUAUAUAAACUAUUAAUUAAAAACAUUUCGUAAAGUAAGUUAGAAAUAAAAUAUUGAAAAUGAUAGAAUUUUAAUAUCAUGCUACUGCUACUCCAAGAUUUGGAUAACAGUUCUAAUAUCAUGCUAAUACUCGUCCAAGAUUUGAAUGAGUUCUAAUAUCAUGCUCAUGAUCCUAGAUUUAGUGGGAAGUAAAUUAGGGUAGAGUAAAAAACAAACACAAUUUGUUUGAGUUCGUACCCCUCCAUUUUUUUAUUAAAAAACUCACGUACCCCUAAUAAUGCGGUUGAGGCGGAGUUGAGAAUAGAUGCAGGUGGAUUUGCUCUGAAGAAGGUGAUGUUAAAAAUGAAGAAAUGAAGAGAAACUAAUCUUGAAUAAAAUAUAAUUGCUCCAUUCAUCUAAAGUUUGAUUAUCUCCAUUCAUUUUCAAUAAAAUAUAAUUACUCCAGACACAUAAGUAAACACAUAUAAAAGGAAUAAUGGGACAACAAAAACAAUCUUGACAUGUCCUCUCAUAUCUGCAUUAUCAUAUCACUUAUCUUCAUUUUCAGGAUGCAAACAAAAUAUAAAACUUAAUAUUCUAGCUGAUUUCAAAGCAAAAAUAAGAAUCGUAUAGAAAUAUAGGAUUAUUGAAAUCCAACCUGUAUGAGCCCACCAAGCUUAUCUCUAAGGUCCAAUACAACAUGAAGCACCCAUAUCUUGAAUUCAUUUCAUUGCUGCAAAAUUUAAUUCAUUCUUGUGUCAUCACAAGCAAGCAAAAUUAAAGGAUUAUGCUAUGAAAUGCAUACAAAUGACUAAAUCUUUUCGUGCCAAUGCAUUGGACUCCUUGAGGUGCAUGUACCCAUCAUAAGCCAACAAUUUGCUAUUGAACUUCUAUUGAUACAAAUGGUCCAUGAUCCCAUGCUUGACCUGACAAUGGUGAUGCCAACAUUUAAACUUGAACAUUAAAAACCAAAAAACAAAGGCUAGAGCAGGUGCCAAACUAAUGUUCUGUUAGGCCCUUGCAAUAGAGGUGCUACUUCAAUUGUUGAUUUUCCCUUUACCUACAUGCAAUAGAUAUGCCAAUACUUAAUCUCGCAAACUAAGAAAAAAAGAACCAUUUGAGUUGUCAAUUAAUCUCUCUAUAGUAGUACAGCAGCUUCGAUUUCCCUUGCAAAAAAUAAUGCAUUAUAUUGUGAUCCUAGUAGGAAAGAGGAACAUCAGUGUGCUCAAUUUUGAAAAUUACUUGAGCUGCAGGGAUCAAGCUGUACUCUUCCCAUUUAGUAACUCCAUGUAUCAAAUCAUCUUCCUUAUAAUCUUCGUGUCCAGAUUCCAGAACUUUAGACGCAUCUAAUGGCUUCAAAUACAAAAAAAAAAAAAAACAUCAGUAGCUGCAAACCAUAAUUUCAAUUUUGCAACUUUGCAACAGAAAUAUCAAUUUACAUAUAAAAAAAACACACUUUAAGGCUCAACUCUGCAUAUACUAAAAAGGGUCUUACCCAGAAAAGGAUAUCGACUUACAGAUUGAGGAGUAAAGGCACCAGAAGAGGAGAGUCUUGUUUUGCUAUGUUUAUCUUUCUGAAGGAAAAGAGGAAAAUUGGAAAUAGAACGAGAAAAGAGCAAAAGAGGAGAAGAGAGCAAGAACGUGAAAGUGCAGAAGCAGAGAAAGAGGAAGGAUUCAAGAAUUUGGCUAAGAUUGAGGAUAGCGGUUGUUCGACUCGGUGAGGAUUAGCUCAUGAGUCCGUUAUUUAGUUAGCGUCAGGUGUCAUGCCCUGAUAUUUGUAACACUGGGGACGCGAUGCUUAGAGUUUAUGUUUUAUAACUCUAGUUAUGUUUGAUGUUUUGAAGGAUAAGUUUUAAAGAUGUCGAACUUAGUCCGUUUGAUUUAAUUUCCGCUGUGUUAACAUGAAAUGUUUUAAUCGA